UGGGGAAUCUUGCACAAUGGAGGCAACCCUGAUGCAGCGACGCCGCGUGAGCGAUGAAGCCCUUCGGGGCGUAAAGCUCUUUCGACCGGAACGAUAAUGACGGUACCGGGAGAAGAAGCUGCGGCUAACUACGUGCCAGCAGCCGCGGUAAUACGUAGGCAGCAAGCGUUGUUCGGAGUUACUGGGCGUAAAGAGUGCGUAGGCGGUUUUCUAAGUUCGGUGUGAAAUCUCCCGGCUUAACUGGGAGGGUGCGCCGAAGACUGGGAAGCUGGAGUGUGGGAAAGGCAGGCGGAAUUCCUGGUGUCGCGGUGAAAUGCGUAGAUAUCAGGAGGAACACCGGCGGUGUAGACGGCUUGCUAGACCAUAACUGACGCUGAGGCACGAAAGCGUGGGUAGCAAACA
rnacentral:rRNA from 1 species